GAUGAACGCUGGCGGCGUGCCUAAUACAUGCAAGUCGAGCGAACAGACGAGGAGCUUGCUCCUCUGACGUUAGCGGCGGACGGGUGAGUAACACGUGGAUAACCUACCUAUAAGACUGGGAUAACUUCGGGAAACCGGAGCUAAUACCGGAUAAUAUAUUGAACCGCAUGGUUCAAUAGUGAAAGACGGUUUUGCUGUCACUUAUAGAUGGAUCCGCGCCGCAUUAGAUAGUUGGUAAGGUAACGGCUUACCAAGGCGACGAUGCGUAGCCGACCUGAGAGGGUGAUCGGCCACACUGGAACUGAGACACGGUCCAGACUCCUACGGGAGGCAGCAGUAGGGAAUCUUCCGCAAUGGGCGAAAGCCUGACGGAGCAACGCCGCGUGAGUGAUGAAGGUCUUCGGAUCGUAAAACUCUGUUAUUAGGGAAGAACAAAUGUGUAAGUAACUAUGCACGUCUUGACGGUACCUAAUCAGAAAGCCACGGCUAACUAUGUG
rnacentral:rRNA from 1 species